GACGAACGCUGGCGGCGUGCUUAACACAUGCAAGUCGAACGGAAAGGCCCUGCUUUUGUGGGGUGCUCGAGUGGCGAACGGGUGAGUAACACGUGAGUAACCUGCCCUUGACCUUGGGAUAACUUCAGGAAACUGGGGCUAAUACCGGAUAGGAGCUCCUGCUGCAUGGUGGGGGUUGGAAAGUUUCGGCGGUUGGGGAUGGACUCGCGGCUUAUCAGCUUGUUGGUGGGGUAGUGGCUUACCAAGGCUUUGACGGGUAGCCGGCCUGAGAGGGUGACCGGCCACAUUGGGACUGAGAUACGGCCCAGACUCCUACGGGAGGCAGCAGUGGGGAAUAUUGCACAAUGGGCGGAAGCCUGAUGCAGCAACGCCGCGUGCGGGAUGACGGCCUUCGGGUUGUAAACCGCUUUCGCCUGUGACGAAGCGUGAGUGACGGUAAUGAGUAAAGAAGCACCGGCUAACUACGUG
rnacentral:rRNA from 1 species